AAGUCGUAACAAGGUCUCCGUUGGUGAACCAGCGGAGGGAUCAUUACAGAGUCGUAAAAAACUCCCAAACCCAUGUGAAUUUACCUUUGUUGCCUCGGCAGGACCUACCCGGUACCUACCCUGUAGCUACCCCGUAGCCUGCCGGUGGACUAUUAAACUCUUGUUAUUUUCAAUAAAUCUGAGCGUCUUAUUAAAUAAGUCAAAA
rnacentral:misc_RNA from 1 species